rnacentral:rRNA from 1 species
CAGCAGUGGGGAAUUUUGGACAAUGGGGGCAACCCUGAUCCAGCCAUGCCGCGUGAGUGAAGAAGGCCUUCGGGUUGUAAAGCUCUUUCGGCGGGGAAGAAAUGGCAACGGCUAAUAUCCGUUGUUGAUGACGGUACCCGCAUAAGAAGCACCGGCUAACUACGUGCCAGCAGCCGCGGUAAUACGUAGGGUGCGAGCGUUAAUCGGAAUUACUGGGCGUAAAGCGUGCGCAGGCGGUUUUGUAAGACAGACGUGAAAUCCCCGGGCUCAACCUGGGAACUGCGUUUGUGACUGCGAGGCUAGAGUACGGCAGAGGGGGGUGGAAUUCCACGUGUAGCAGUGAAAUGCGUAGAGAUGUGGAGGAACACCGAUGGCGAAGGCAGCCCCCUGGGCCAGUACUGACGCUCAUGCACGAAAGCGUGGGGAGCAAACAGGAUUAGAUACCCUGGUAGUCCACGCCCUAAACGAUGUCAACUAGGUGUUGGAAGGGUUAAACCUUUUAGUACCGCAGCUAACGC